UGGGGAAUUUUGGACAAUGGGGGAAACCCUGAUCCAGCCAUCCCGCGUGUGCGAUGAAGGCCUUCGGGUUGUAAAGCACUUUUGGCAGGAAAGAAACGUCGCGGGUUAAUACCCCGCGAAACUGACGGUACCUGCAGAAUAAGCACCGGCUAACUACGUGCCAGCAGCCGCGGUAAUACGUAGGGUGCAAGCGUUAAUCGGAAUUACUGGGCGUAAAGCGUGCGCAGGCGGUUCGGAAAGAAAGAUGUGAAAUCCCAGAGCUUAACUUUGGAACUGCAUUUUUAACUACCGGGCUAGAGUGUGUCAGAGGGAGGUGGAAUUCCGCGUGUAGCAGUGAAAUGCGUAGAUAUGCGGAGGAACACCGAUGGCGAAGGCAGCCUCCUGGGAUAACACUGACGCUCAUGCACGAAGGCGUGGGGAGCAAACAGGAUUAGAUACCCUGGUAGUCCACGCCCUAAACGAUGUCAACUAGCUGUUGGGGGCCUUCGGGCCUUGGUAGCGCAGCUAACGCGUGAAGUUGACCGCCUGGGGAGUACGGUCGCAAGAUUAAAACUCAAAUGAA
rnacentral:rRNA from 1 species